rnacentral:rRNA from 1 species
GAUGAACGCUGGCGGCGUGCCUAAUACAUGCAAGUCGAGCGAACAGACGAGGAGCUUGCUCCUCUGACGUUAGCGGCGGACGGGUGAGUAACACGUGGAUAACCUACCUAUAAGACUGGGAUAACUUCGGGAAACCGGAGCUAAUACCGGAUAAUAUAUUGAACCGCAUGGUUCAAUAGUGAAAGACGGUUUUGCUGUCACUUAUAGAUGGAUCCGCGCCGCAUUAGCUAGUUGGUAAGGUAACGGCUUACCAAGGCAACGAUGCGUAGCCGACCUGAGAGGGUGAUCGGCCACACUGGAUCUGAGACACGGUCCAGACUCCUACGGGAGGCAGCAGUAGGGAAUCUUCCGCAAUGGGCGAAAGCCUGACGGAGCAACGCCGCGUGAGUGAUGAAGGUCUUCGGAUCGUAAAACUCUGUUAUUAGGGAAGGACAAAUGUGUAAGUAACUAUGCACGUCUUGACGGUACCUAAUCAGAAAGCCACGGCUAACUACGUG